GACGAACGCUGGCGGCGUGCCUAAUACAUGCAAGUCGAGCGGACGGAUGGGAGCUUGCUCCCAGACCGUCAGCGGCGGACGGGUGAGUAACACGUGGGCAACCUGCCUGUAAGACUGGGAUAACUCCGGGAAACCGGGGCUAAUACCGGAUAACUCUUUCCCUCACAUGAGGGAAAGCUGAAAGAUGGCAUCUCGCUAUUACUUACAGAUGGGCCCGCGGCGCAUUAGCUAGUUGGUGAGGUAACGGCUCACCAAGGCGACGAUGCGUAGCCGACCUGAGAGGGUGAUCGGCCACACUGGGACUGAGACACGGCCCAGACUCCUACGGGAGGCAGCAGUAGGGAAUCUUCCGCAAUGGACGAAAGUCUGACGGAGCAACGCCGCGUGAGUGAUGAAGGUUUUCGGAUCGUAAAACUCUGUUGUCAGGGAAGAACAAGUACCGGAGUAACUGCCGGUACCUUGACGGUACCUGACCAGAAAGCCACGGCUAACUACGUG
rnacentral:rRNA from 1 species